rnacentral:rRNA from 1 species
CCUACGGGGGGCAGCAGCUAAGAAUAUUCCGCAAUGGACGAAAGUCUGACGGAGCGACGCCGCGUGGAUGAAGAAGGCCGGAAGGUUGUAAAAUCCUUUUGCUGAUGAAGAAUAAGUGUGGUAGGGAAUGACCGCAUGAUGACAUUAGUCGGUGAAUAAGCCCCGGCUAACUACGUGCCAGCAGCCGCGGUAACACGUAGGGGGCAAGCGUUGUUCGGAAUUAUUGGGCGUAAAGGGCAUGUAGGCGGUUUCGUAAGCCUGGUGUGAAAUCCUGCAGCUUAACUGCAGAAUUGCAUUGGG